AAAGUUUUAAGUUAAAAUUAAAACUAAUAGCCUUCAAAGUUAUAAAUAAAAAGAAAAAUUUAAACUUUA
rnacentral:tRNA from 1 species